AUUACGAUGGCUGGUGGUAGUAUAUAAACACUGCAGGCAAGAGCAGGAUUGUACCAGAACUACCUACUUCGUCUUUAACAAGAAACCUUGCCAAUUCAAAAUGAACGGUCUGGCUGGAGUCAGCGCCCUCGUGUGGGUUACCAUCGCACUAGCUGUGCUGAUUAACGAAGCUGCUGCUCUAGGAGGUGGUGUCGGAGCUGGCAGAAUGGUUCCCGUUGAGAAGUGAAUGAAAGAAACACUAAUCCAAGGCCUUGGCUACAUAGAGAAGUUCCAGCACCUGCUUACGCUGGAAAUGAAGUGAUGAAAGUGAACUACUCUGGUUGCUUCAGAUUAUGAAGUGUAUUAUGUCUCAGCCAUUCAGGCGAGGAGGGACAUCAAAGUAAAGGGCUUUGAAUGGUUUCCCCAUCUCAGCUUGUUUAACUAGACAGUAAAGAAAAAAUGACUUUU